GGAUUGUAGGCUGCAACUCGCCUACAUGAAGUUGGAAUCGCUAGUAAUCGCGAAUCAGAAUGUCGCGGUGAAUACGUUCCCGGGUCUUGUACACACCGCCCGUCACACCACGAGAGUUUACAACACCCGAAGUCAGUGGCCUAACCGCAAGGAGGGAGCUGCCUAAGGUGGGGUAGAUGAUUGGGGUGAAGUCGUAACAAGGUAUC
rnacentral:rRNA from 1 species